rnacentral:rRNA from 1 species
UACGAGGGGGCGAGCGUUGUUCGGAAUUAUUGGGCGUAAAGGGUGCGUAGGCGGUUUGGUAAGUCUUAUGUGAAAUCUACAGGCUCAACUUGUAGUCUGCAUGAGAAACUGCCGGGCUAGAUGAUGGGAGAGGUAGACGGUGAAUUCCUGGUGUAGCGGUGAAAUGCGUAGAUAUCAGGAGGAACACCUGUGGUGUAGACAGCUUACUGGACCAUUUCUGACGCUGAGACACGAAAGCGUGGGUAGCAAACAGGAUUAGA